rnacentral:rRNA from 1 species
CGUGAGCGCUAGCUUACGUGGAGGCGCUGGUGGGAUACUACCCUGGCUGUGUUGACUUUCUAACCCGCACCAUUUGAUCAUGGUGGGAGACAGUGUCAGGCGGGCAGUUUGACUGGGGCGGUCGCCUCCUAAAGAGUAACGGAGGCGCUCAAAGGUUCCCUCAGAAUGGUUGGAAAUCAUUCGCAGAGUGUAAAGGCACAAGGGAGCUUGACUGCGAGACUUACAAGUCGAGCAGGGUCGAAAGACGGACUUAGUGAUCCGGUGGUUCCGCAUGGAAGGGCCAUCGCUCAACGGAUAAAAGCUACCCCGGGGAUAACAGGCUUAUCUCCCCCAAGAGUUCACAUCGACGGGGAGGUUUGGCACCUCGAUGUCGGCUCAUCGCAUCCUGGGGCUGUAGUCGGUCCCAAGGGUUGGGCUGUUCGCCCAUUAAAGCGGUACGCGAGCUGGGUUCAGAACGUCGUGAGACAGUUCGGUCCCUAUCCGUCGUGGGCGUAGGAAAUUUGAGAGGAGCUGUCCUUAGUACGAGAGGACCGGGAUGGACAUACCUCUGGUGUACCAGUUGUCGUGCCAACGGCAUAGCUGGGUAGCUAUGUAUGGACGGGAUAAGUGCUGAAAGCAUCUAAGCAUGAAGCCCCCCUCAAGAUGAGAUUUCCCAACUUCGGUUAUAAGAUCCCUCAAAGAUGAUGAGGUUAAUAGGUUCGGGGUGUAAGCGCAGUAAUGUGUGUAGCUGACGAAUACUAAUCGAUCGAAGACUUAAUCAAAUU